rnacentral:lncRNA from 1 species
CUAUGACGCAACUCAUCCAUGGACGCUCGUCUGCUGCUGAAUUCAUGUUUUACAGUUAAAAAGAAUGGAAAGAUAUAUACUAGUCUGAUAGAUAAUACGAGGACCUCUGGUUUUUCAAAACUGUUGGAUCAACAAGUUAUUAUAAAACGAUAAAUUGAAAUGGGUUGCUUGUCGAUUAACUUGAAGAAACCGGGAACGAAACGCACACAAACAAGAAAGUUGUGUUUCUUUUUGAUGGAUUACAUACCCGCUAUUUUGUACUUGGAAAGCGCACCGAAAGGUAAAUAUUAUCAUGCACAUAUUUAAGAAGAUGCUAGUGGUAUACUUUUCACGAAAAAACAUUUGAAUUUAUAAAUUCAUCGCAUGCAAACCCGAAAAUCAGUCUGACAAGAGAUCAGAAGAUUGGCAAGAACGGACGCAAGUCAACUCGACCACUGCCAAAACGGCCUACUUUUUUAACAACACGUCUCCCUUUCUAAAAAUGUCCCACUCUUGUUAGGGAGCUACCAUGUGAGUUUUAUUGAGGUGGUGGGGGUCACCAUGUCACAGGCACUUGUCUCAGAAAAAAAAUUCCCUAUAUACCUUAAUAUAAUACAUAUUUAAUACAUAUAUAUAGGAUUUUUUUUCAGGACAAGUGCCUGUGUUGGGGGGUGCUUGGAUGUUAUUUGAAAAAUAUGCGGAACUGGAGUUCUGUCAACUUUAAAAAAAAAUGCAGGAUAACAUUUAUCGUAUGUCGUCCCCCACCCCAUAAAAGUCAAGUGGUGGCUUCCUUACCAACUCGUCCUGCUUUAAAAAAAAAUUGCCCUACUUAUAAAAAGGGUUAAAAUCUGUAAAAUAUACUCCUGCAAAGAAUGGCCUUGCCCAACUUGCAUGACUUGGGUAAAAUCCAAAUGAAUAUAAUUAAUAUUUAAUUUAUAUAAAAAAAUAAAAGUCUGCAAAUUUUGCCCUUAUUUACAUAAAUUUGUACUUCUAGACUACCUAGUUCAAAUAAUUACGACUUCUUGAAAGGCUAUUACAUUUUUUUUAUUUAACGCCUUGCAUUAGAGUAAAGCGUCCAAAAAAUAAUAAUAAUAGCCUUUCAAGACGUCAUAAUAAUUUGGACUACUAGACUACCCAGAAAUUAGAAAACACUGAUUUAAAAAUUUAAUAUAUACAUAAAAUUGAUAAUGGAAAUGGGGAAUGUGUCAAAGAGACAACAACCCGACCAUAAAGCAGACAACAGCAGAAGGUCACCAACAUGUCUUCAAUGCAGCAAGAAAUUCCGGAGGCGUCCAUCAGCUGGCCCCUAAACAAAUAUAUAUACUAGUUCAGUGAUAAUGAACGCCAUACUAAACAUGCUAAACUCCAAAUUGUACAAAACUAAAAUUAAAAAAAAAUAGUACAAAGACUAACAAAGGCCAGAGGCUCCUGACUUGGGACAGGCGCAAAAUUCAGGCGGGGUCAAACAUGUUUAUGAGAUCUCAACCCUCCCCCUAUACAUGUACGUACCUCUAGCCAAUGCAGAUGUAUGAUAUCUAUUGAUUUAAAUUGAUGUGUCAUUUCUGAAACCAUGAUUGUGGAUUCAUAUUUAUUAUUAAAUUAUUAUGUACAUGUAAUUUAUGUAUUUAUUUAGUGUAUCAUAAUCUAUUUGAACUUUUUUUUAGCUGACUCAAAAUCAAGCUGUUUGGGCCUCCUCUUGUACAUGGGAAGUGGACUCCUUGAGAAGGUGAAAGGUCUGCUUUACAUGUACGUAA